AUGAUGGAAAGCGAGACGCCUCCCCCGGCCUCCUCGCCCAAUAAGGCGGACGACUCCGAAGUGUCGUCUCGGAGGGUUUUUCUUGAUCGACAAGCGGCGCGAGGGAUGAAGGAGGCAGUACCCGAAGGUGAACCUCCCAUCAUCCGGGAUUCGGGGGCCAACAAUGAAGGCCCCGGACUAUCCGGUUUUCAACCAGCGGUGAUUCUAGAGACGAGUGAACAGGUUCCUUCAAAGGAUGGUCGUGCUCCUACAACGGCUUCCGAAGACCCAGCAGCGCCGGAUAUGUUGAGGGAUAUGCUACGAAAGGCAUAUGUCUUGGAGGAACAGCGUACCUUGAUGUCUACGGUGGUUGAGAGGAUUCUGUCCGCGAAGAGCGGAUUGAAUGAAGCCUUCAUGAGCCUACUAAGAGGCUUCGAGGUUUGUGAUGUAAUAUUUUCAACUAUAUUUUAUUUGCAACAUGCACCUGUGUAUAGGUAG
rnacentral:rRNA from 1 species